rnacentral:rRNA from 1 species
CAGAACGAACGCUGGCGGCGUGCCUAACACAUGCAAGUCGAGCGGGAAAGUUCCCUUCGGGGAGCGAGUACAGCGGCGAACGGGUGAGUAACACGUAGGUAACCUACCCUGGAGACUGGGAUAACCUGCCGAAAGGCGGGCUAAUACUAGAUAAGACCACGAGAGCUGCGGCUCUUGGGGUAAAAGGUGGCCUCUACUUGUAAGCUACCACUCCGGGAUGGGCCUGCGCGCCAUUAGCUAGUUGGUGAGGUAACGGCUCACCAAGGCUUAGAUGGCUAGCUGGUCUGAGAGGAUGGCCAGCCACACUGGGACUGAGACACGGCCCAGACUCCUACGGGAGGCAGCAGUGGGGAAUCUUGCGCAAUGGGCGAAAGCCUGACGCAGCGACGCCGCGUGGGUGAUGAAGGCCUUCGGGUCGUAAAGCCCUGUCAAGAGGGACGAAUCCUCGUCGACCUAACACGUCGGCGACCUGACGGUACCUCUGAAGGAAGCACCGGCUAACUCCGUGCCAGCAGCCGCGGUAA